GUCAUAUGCUUGUCUCAAAGAUUAAGCCAUGCAUGUCUCAGUACAAGCCAAAUUAAGGUGAAACCGCGAAAGGCUCAUUAAAUCAGUUAUGGUUCCUUAGAUCGUACCCACAAUUACUUGGAUAACUGUGGUAAUUCUAGAGCUAAUACAUGCAAACAGAGCUCCGACCGGAGACGGAAGGAGUGCUUUUAUUAGAUCAAAACCAAUCGGUGGCGGGCUCGCUCGUCAUCGUACAACUUGGUGACUCUGAAUAACUUUACGCUGAUCGCACGGUCAUCGCACCGGCGACGCAUCUUUCAAAUGUCUGCCUUAUCAACUGUCGAUGGUAGGUUCUGCGCCUACCAUGGUUGUAACGGGUAACGGGGAAUCAGGGUUCGAUUCCGGAGAGGGAGCCUGAGAAACGGCUACCACAUCCAAGGAAGGCAGCAGGCGCGCAAAUUACCCACUCCCGGCACGGGGAGGUAGUGACGAAAAAUAACGAUACGGGACUCAUCCGAGGCCCCGUAAUCGGAAUGAGUACACUCUAAACCCUUUAACGAGGAUCAAUUGGAGGGCAAGUCUGGUGCCAGCAGCCGCGGUAAUUCCAGCUCCAAUAGCGUAUAUUAAAGUU
rnacentral:rRNA from 1 species